UACAGAGGGGGCAAGCGUUGUUCGGAAUUACUGGGCGUAAAGGGCGCGUAGGCGGCCUGUUAAGUCGAACGUGAAAUCCCCGGGCUCAACCCGGGAACUGCGUCCGAUACUGGCAGGCUUGAAUCCGGGAGAGGGAUGCGGAAUUCCUGGUGUAGCGGUGAAAUGCGUAGAUAUCAGGAGGAACACCGGUGGUGUAAACGGCUUUCUGGACCGUAACUGACGCUGAGGCACGAAAGCGUGGGUAGCAAACAGG
rnacentral:rRNA from 1 species